AUUGAACGCUGGCGGCAGGCCUAACACAUGCAAGUCGAACGAGUGGCGGACGGGUGAGUAAUGUCUGGGAAACUGACCGAUGGAGGGGGAUAACUACUGGAAACGGUAGCUAAUACCGCAUACCAUCGGAUGUGCCCAGAUGUGGUUAGCGUGUAGGUGAGGUAACGGCUCACCUAGGCGACGAUCCCUAGCUGGUCUGAGAGGAUGACCAGCAGCACGGUAACUGAGACACUGUGCAGACUCCGAGGGGAGGCAGCAGGGUGGAAUAUGGCACAAGGGGCUCAAUCCUGAUACAUCCAUGCCGCGUGGAUGAAGAAGGCCUUCGGGUUGUAAAGUACGUUCAGCGGGGAGGCGUUACCCGCAGAAGAAGCACCGGCUAACUCCGUGCCAGCAGCCGCGGUAAUAC
rnacentral:rRNA from 1 species